rnacentral:tRNA from 1 species
GGGCCUAUAGCAUAAUGGCAAUGUACUGCAUUCGCAUUGCAGUGAUGGCAGUUCGAUUCUGCCUAGGUCCACCA